rnacentral:tRNA from 1 species
GCAGUGGUGGUUCAGGGGUAGAACUCUCACCUUCCAUGCAGGAGACCCAGGUUUGAUUCCUGGCAAUGCA